CUCCCACCCAGUACAGCCGCUCCCCACACACUCACCUGGGCAGGGAGCAGGAGAGGAGCCCCAGCCUGCUGCAUUCAGCCGGGCUGCUCUACAGGACGGCGCUGGGCAGCCUCAGCUCUCCGGUCACUCCAACACCGCGGGCGCGGCUCUCAUGCAGGUGAGCUGCCACCUGAUGCGGAGUCCACGGGCUAAGGGGACCCAGGGCCCGAGCUGAGCUUCCUGGCAGAUCUUCUCUCCCGGAGCCCGACCCACGGCGCCUUCUAGUGUCCUAGAGUGAUAUCGUCGUUCCAAGUUUCACUCCAGCUACUUUCUCUAUUCGCACCUGGGAGACAAGGUCAAAACCAGGCCAGUGUAAGACUCAACAAACCAGGCAGGUUAUGUUCGCUAGCCAUCCCGGCGACUGGGAAGCUGAGGCAGGAGGAUUGCAAGUUGUGGCAAGACUCAACAACUUAAGUUACACCCUGUCUCCAAAUAAAAAGUAAAAAUAGUUUGGGGAUGUAGCUCAGUGGUGGUGUGUGCCCCCUCAUUCUGCAGUGUCACAAAGGAAAAUAAAAAGGAUUUAAGAAAAACAAAAUGAGAAGCAAUUCAAUUAAAUUAGCCCAGAGUUAGUAAACUAAAGAAGAAAAAAUGCUUUAUACUUUAUCAUGUCAAAAAUUCAUUACAUACCCAAGAAAAUUUGUAAAUAACCAUUAAACACAUUGAUAUAUUUAAUAUCAUGGCUCUAAAAAUGCAAAAUUAAAUCAUUAUAUUAUCCCAUUCCACAAAAAUAAACACAACUGAGUGCAUGGGGUGACUGGCAGCAUAUAAAGUAGGUGGACUCUGACUUACUGCUAGCAGAAGGCAGCCACUUUGUAAGCAGAUUUGCCAUCCUGUUAGCAUACAAAGUUAACAUAAAAUUUCUGAGUGUUGUAUUGUUAGUGAAUUGCCCAAAAGAAUUACACAGAAAUUCAUAAAUGAAAAUACAUAACAGGAUUGUUCAUCAAACAGCCUAAACAUCUAAUAGUAAGACACCAGAUAGAAUUUCAAAAUCAUUCUGCUUAUGUCAGAAGACCCAUAGGACAGAGUGCAGGUGACAUGUCUCGUGGAGAUGAAAUUUUGUAAAAGAGAAAUCUAGUGGCACAAAUAAGACAAGGGGUCCUGGGGGCCAAGGUUGAUGGAAUAUUGACUGAAAACUGUCAUAAAUUAUAGUUGAUAAAAAAUUUUAAUCUUCAUUUUGAAUUCAUGAAAGAUAUGAAUAUAUCAAUAUGAAUAUGUAUAUUAGAUAAUUAUAAAUACAAUGCAUAUGAAAUAUUUAUUUAUUAGUUUAUUUCACUACUCACCAAACUGCUUAAUUGGAUACAUAUUAUUUUGUGUAAUUUCCACCUUUAUUUUAAAACAACGAUCACAGUAUUCUAAGAUGAAAUUACAAAAACUUUUACGAACUACUUUUCAUAAAAUUCUGCCCCUUUAAAGAGAAUAUUAUUGGUCGAAAAAAGAGUUAAAAUAUGUAAAAAAAAAAAAAAGUUGAAUACUCUUGCCUUCUGUCCUUAGUUACAGAUGAAGUGAUAUUUCCCUAAGACACCGCCGCUUUUGGAGCGAUGGGUUUCACAUCGUGGAUCUGGUACUGCCAUAGGAAAGCCCUAGGUAACUGAGGUGGCAGAGGCCACGCAAGACUCGCCUGGUGCAGGGAAGGUCUCAGUCCCCUUCGAGGGAGGAAGGAAGAAAGAAGAAAGAAAUCGGUGGCCUCCGUUUGCAAACACCAGCAGUACAAAUGUGUCAACUUCACAAAAUAUGAUUAGUAGUGUUGUCACAUUAAAAGACUGAAUGAGGGUGAGGUGUCCAGAAAUCUAGGAAUGGGGACAAGCGUAGGAGCGGUGUGCCAAGCUGAUCUGAGCCUUGGUGGGCGCCCUCCCUUGGGCGGAGUCCUCGUGGGGGUCCUCCCCUGGGCGGAGUCCUGGUGGGCGCCCUCCCCUAUGUGCUACCUGGAGAAGGGAAGGGGCAGCCAGGGCGCGUGCUGGUGUCGCUGUGCAGCGCAGAGAGGAGGUGGGUGGAGACAGAACCCUCCAGAGGGAGGCAGACGUCAGGGGACGCCUCAGGAUGUCAUCAGUGAGUCUGCAGGCUGUGUCCACUGGACACGUGGGCUAGCUCAGGGGAGGCAGUGAGCCCCCAGUCGGGUCACUAGGAAUACAGGGUUCCCAGUUUACGGACCAGAAGGAUAAAAUCUCUUCGCGAGUGGCGGUGACAUUUUGGUACCUCUUGCUGGCAGCCGCGCCACUCUGGCUGAUUUGCCCCAGGCGCUGUGGGAUGCGCCCUGCUGGCUUCUGCCCGCGGUGGCUCAGCUUUGGGGCCGCCGGGUGUUUCCUUCCCCUCAAGCAUGGAUUUGCCCUGCUGCAGGGCAAUUCGCCUACUGGUGCCUCCCGGAAAUGUAUCAGUGGAAAGGAGCUCAGAGCAAGGUCUGCGGGCCAGGGUUUCCUUGUCUCCCUACCGGUCACAGCUGCCUGUGAGGAAGGUGGCUGCUGCCACCGCGGGGAGGGACAGCACAGUAGUCAUUGGCCUCACCUCUGGCGGCAGCCCAGCCAAGAGCAAGAGCUGUGCAUCAGCGGGGCCUCCUGGGAUCCAGAGAAGCAGCAGGGGGCGCUGGAGACCUGGUGCUUGAGGCUGAGGGUGGUACCAGGGCUACCUGGGAGGGCGCCCAGCUGCUGCUGGAACGGGGAUAUGCCAGUCACCAACACUGAGG
rnacentral:lncRNA from 1 species